GACGAACGCUGGCGGCGUGCUUAACACAUGCAAGUCGAACGGAAAGGCCCUGCUUUUGUGGGGUUCUCGAGUGGCGAACGGGUGAGUAACACGUGAGUAACCUGCCCUUGACUUUGGGAUAACUUCAGGAAACUGGGUCUAAUACCGGAUAGGAUCUCCUGCUGCAUGGUGUGGGUUGGAAAGUUUCGGCGGUUGGGGAUGGACUCGCGGCUUAUCCGCUUGUUGGUGGGGUAGUUGCUUACCAAGGUUUUGACGGGUAGCCGGCCUGGGAGGGUUACCGGCCACAUUGGGACUGAGAUACGGACCAGAAUCCUACGGGAGGCAGCAGUGGGGAAUAUUGCACAAUGGGCGGAAGCGUGAUGCAGCAACGCCGCGUGCGGGAUGACGGCCUUCGGGUUGUAAACCGAUUUCGACUGUGACGAAGCGUGAGUGACGGUAAUGGGUAAAGAAGCACCGGCUAACUACGUG
rnacentral:rRNA from 1 species